rnacentral:rRNA from 1 species
UACGUAGGUGGCAAGCGUUGUCCGGAUUCACUGGGCGUAAAGCGCGCGCAGGCGGUCUUCUACGUCUGGGGUGAAAAACCGGGGCUCAACCCCGGGACUGCCUUGGAUACGGGAAGACUUGAGGAUCGGAGAGGCAAGGGGAAUUCCACGUGUAGCGGUGAAAUGCGUAGAGAUGUGGAGGAACACCUGUGGCGAAGGCGCCUUGCUGGCCGAUUUCUGACGCUGAGGCGCGAAAGCGUGGGGAGCAAACAGG